UACGGAGGGGGCUAGCGUUGUUCGGAAUUACUGGGCGUAAAGCGCACGUAGGCGGCUUUGCAAGUCAGAGGUGAAAGCCCGGGGCUCAACCCCGGAAUUGCCUUUGAGACUGCAUCGCUAGAAUUGUGGAGAGGUAAGUGGAAUUCCGAGUGUAGAGGUGAAAUUCGUAGAUAUUAGGAAGAACACCAGUGGCGAAGGCGACUUACUGGACACAUAUUGACGCUGAGGUGCGAAAGCGUGGGGAGCAAACAGG
rnacentral:rRNA from 1 species